rnacentral:misc_RNA from 1 species
GCCGAUUAGGAAUUGUAGUCAAAGUAGGAGACAAGCUACAUGUCCCAAUAACAUGAAUGCCAUACAAAUAGUUUCUAGAUCUUCAAUGCAUAUACAACUGCAACCAACUCUAAAUCGUGUGUCAGAUAGUUGUUCUCACGUUUCCUCAAUUGCUUUGAAAAAUAUGUGAUGACCAUCCCAUGUUGCAUAAGAACAUAUCCCAACCCAUUACUAG